GAUGAACGCUAGCGGGAGGCUUAACACAUGCAAGUCGAGGGGCAGCACGAGGUAGCAAUACUUUGGUGGCGACCGGCGCACGGGUGAGUAACGCGUAUGCAACCUACCCUGUACAGGGGGAUAGCCCGGAGAAAUUCGGAUUAAUACCCCAUAAAGAUAUCCUAAGGCAUCUUUAGAUAUUUAAAGUUUCGACGGUACGGGAUGGGCAUGCGUAACAUAGCUAGUUGGUAGGGUAAUGGCCUACCAAGGCGACGAUGUUUAGGGGUCCUGAGAGGGUGAUCCCCCACACUGGUACUGAGACACGGACCAGACUCCUACGGGAGGCAGCAGUGAGGAAUAUUGGCCAAUGGGCGUAAGCCUGAACCAGCCAUCCCGCGUGAAGGAAGAAGGCGCUAUGCGUUGUAAACUUCUUUUCUGAGGGAAGAAAACCCCCGACGUGUCGGGGCUUGUCGGUACCUUGGGAAUAAGCAUCGGCUAACUCCGUGCCAGCAGCCGCCGUAAAAC
rnacentral:rRNA from 1 species